UACGUAGGGUGCGAGCGUUGUCCGGAAUUACUGGGCGUAAAGAGCUCGUAGGUGGUUUGUCGCGUUGUUCGUGAAAACUCACAACUCAAUUGUGGGCGUGCGGGCGAUACGGGCAGACUGGAGUACUGCAGGGGAGACUGGAAUUCCUGGUGUAGCGGUGGAAUGCGCAGAGUAUCAGGAGGAACACCGGUGGCGAAGGCGGGUCUCUGGGCAGUGAACUGACGCUGGAGGAGCGAAAGCGUGGGGAGCGAACAGG
rnacentral:rRNA from 1 species